rnacentral:rRNA from 1 species
CAGAGUUUGAUAUGGCUCAGGAUGAACGCUAGCGGCAGGCUUAACACAUGCAAGUCGAGGGGCAGCGGGGGUGUAGCAAUACACUGCCGGCGACCGGCGUCACGGGUGCGUAACGCGUAUGCAACCUACCAUAACAGGGGCAUAACACUGAGAAAUUGGUACUAAUUCCCCAUAACAUUCGAAGAGCAUCUCUUUGGGUUGAAAACUCCGGUGUUAUGGAUGGGCAUGCUUGUAUUAGCUA